AACGAACGCUGGCGGCAUGCCUAACACAUGCAAGUCGAACGAGACCUUCGGGUCUAGUGGCGCACGGGUGCGUAACGCGUGGGAACCUUCCCUUAGGUUCGGAAUAACUCCCCGAAAGGGGUGCUAAUACCGGAUAAUGUCUUCGGACCAAAGAUUUAUCGCCUUUGGAUGGGCCCGCGUUGGAUUAGCUAGUUGGUAGGGUAAAAGCCUACCAAGGCGACGAUCCAUAGCUGGUUUGAGAGGAUGAUCAGCCACACUGGGACUGAGACACGGCCCAGAAUCCUACGGGAGGCAGCAGUGGGGAAUAUUGGACAGUGGGCGAAAGGCUGAUCCAGCAAUGCCGCGUGAGUGAUGAAGGCCUUAGGGUUGUAAAGCUCUUUUACCCGGGAUGAUAAUGACAGUACCGGGAGAAUAAGCUCCGGCUAACUCCGUG
rnacentral:rRNA from 1 species